rnacentral:tRNA from 1 species
AUUUAUCUAGUAUAAACGUAUAAUUGACUUCCAAUCAAAAGGUCUGAAUCUAUUCAGGAUAAAUA